AUUGUAGCAGUCGCCUUUUUAAAUGAGAUUGAAUGAAGAAAUCGAUACAUAUUUUUAGAGUUGCUAUGUAAUAGCACAUACUCUUCAACGAAUAUAGUGUAUCCUGUCACUCUACGAGUAAAGGGUAUAAAUAAUUAAUUAGAGGGAAUUUAGUUAAAGUGCCGCAAGAACUUUGUGCUAUUUAUUGAAUGUCAUUCCUUAAAGCGCCGCGAUUAUAAAAGCUUAGCUGUGUGCACUUCUUUCCGAGUUUGAGUUUGAGUUCGUGCUUCUGUUUGAGUGUGGGACACUUAAGACCGUGUGAUUGAUUGCCUGUAAAAUAUAUUAUAUUCGCGUAUUAAAUUUAUUGACAUUCCCGCGCAAAUAAAUCACGACUUGGUGUGACAUGACAGCGCAUCGGAAGUGCGGAAAGUGGCGAGCGUCUGCCAAAGGAUUUUCUCGCAUUAUCGCAAUGCGAAGGGUUUGGAGAAUUCCACAUAUACAGAAUUUACGGCCACUUACCGGACACCCCCAACACCUUUCCCUAAAUGCACUGAGAGAAGGUAUCCUCUGUUGUUAAUUUAAAAAAUAUAUACAACCAAAUAUAUUUGAUUUCCAUAUCUUUGUGUGCGUCUUGAGUUGAUCUUACUCAUUCUUAA